UUUAGGGGAAGGAGGCCUAAAGUGGGCACAUAGCCUAAAGCGGGCACUCAGUAUAGUAUCGUAAUUUUAAAUAAUGGCGCGCGCGCGACGCGUGAGCACGAUCCCUUCACCCCUCCCACCUCGCGGCAGUCAUUCGAUUCGCUUGCGAGCACGCAUUUACAAGCUACAACAAAUAAAUGUUUUUCGAUGAUUUUUGAAAAAUAUUGCAAGAUGGUUAGUAAAUAUAAGCGUAAAACUUCACAAGCCUCAUGGUAACGCUCAACUAUGCAGCAAGCAAUGCGAGAAGUGCAAGAGUUAGGAAAACCUGUCAAAAAAGUAGCAACUAAAUAUGGGAUUCCAAGAACGACAUCACAAAGACAUCUUAAAUCGUUCGUGUUAUGAGCUUGGUAGGUUUACUACUGUCUUUUCUACGGAAAAAGAUAUGGAGCUUUUGGAAUACGUGGACUCUUUAUUUUACGGGCUGUCUAAACAAGAAUUUAU